GUCAUAAGCCGCCUGACUGGAUCAAUGUAAAUCGGCCAUUAUACUUUUACUUGUAUGGUAGUUAAAAACCGUAACGUUAAUAUGAGACAACACGCGUAAAACAUCUUCAGUUAACGUUACGUUGGCGUGUCUUGGCAGCGACCCGCGACCACGAAAACUGUGUAGCAAUGGAAAUCUUUUAACGCUUGAAAUAAAAUAAGCACCAAAAUGAACAAUAGAA